rnacentral:rRNA from 1 species
AUGCCAGACUCCUACGGGAGGCAGCAGUGGGGAAUAUUGGGCAAUGGGCGCAAGCCUGACCCAGCAACGCCGCGUGAAGGAAGAAGUAUUUCGGUAUGUAAACUUCUAUCAGCAGGGAAGAAAAUGACGGUACCUGACUAAGAAGCCCCGGCUAACUACGUGCCAGCAGCCGCGGUAAUACGUAGGGGGCAAGCGUUAUCCGGAUUUACUGGGUGUAAAGGGAGCGUAGGCGGCGAUGCAAGUCAGAAGUGAAAGCCCGGGGCUCAACUCCGGGACUGCUUUUGAAACUGUGUUGCUAGAUUGCAGGAGAGGUAAGUGGAAUUCCUAGUGUAGCGGUGAAAUGCGUAGAUAUUAGGAGGAACACCAGUGGCGAAGGCGGCUUACUGGACUGUAAAUGACGCUGAGGCUCGAAAGCGUGGGGAGCAAACAGGAUUAGAUACCCGUGUAAUC